UACGUGGGGUGCGAGCGUUGUUCGGUAUUACUGGGCGUAAAGCGGGUGUAGGCGGCCUAUUAUGUCAGGAGUGAAAGCCCUCGGCCUAACCGAGGAAGUGCGGCUGAAACUGCUAGGCUUGAGUACGAGAGAGGAGGUCGGAAUUCCCAGUGUAGAGGUGAAAUUCGUAGAUAUUGGGAGGAACACCGGCGGCGAAAGCGGUUCUCUGGAACGAUUCUGACGCUAAGACGCGAAAACGUGGGGAGCAAACAGG
rnacentral:rRNA from 1 species